AGGGAUGAGCUUGGGGCAAUGUAGGAAAUCCAUGAUCAGACUAUCUCACUUUUACUUAAUGUUAAAGGCCAGUGGAGUGGGCAAUUGGAUCAGGGUCUAGACAUCAGGGGGAGAGAGAGGAAAAACCCUUCCUUCCAACAUUUUCCUGAUUUAAAUUGCCCACCUUUAAACCUUUACACUGGAAAAUAGCAACUUCGAAAGACAACUUCAAUAGGGAAAAUGAUGCAGGUAAAAGGCUAACCCAACCCUCAUUUAGUGCUGAUACUGUCUUAGGGAGCCUCCACAUCUGUUUUUAACGUCUUCUUUCUGAACUGUCUUGCUGCAGGCUCAGACACAGUUCUGUGUGGAUCACACCAGCGGGUGUUCAUGAAAUAUACUUUGUGGUUUGACAAAAGUCCAUAAAUAACCCCUCCCUCCUAUUUUACUUACUGGGAUAACCAACACCUCCGACAAGGUCAGGAACGAUGCUGAAGUUCUUGAGUCUGGAAUAAUGGAUGGAUCAAGGGGUUGAGAUGUACGGCAGAAGAUGCAGCUGCAUUUAGCUGCGGCGUGAACAGGUUGAUUUUUCCGAGCCAGAUUACAGGAGGCGAAGCUGUCUGGGUGACUUUGAAUGGUGCCUAACCGUUUAUGCACACUUG